UUUUUUUUUUUAAGCUCACUCACACGUAGCUCUUGAAUAUUCUGAAACAAAAACGUAGCUCUCGCUGCACUCCCUUUUCAUGUUCUUCCGUCCCCUCGCUCCACCAAAAAUCCAAAAUUGCUUCCACUCGAGCUCAAGAUUCCCAACAACACCUCAAUUCCCCUCUUGAUUCCUUGCCGUGACCUUGCUCGUCCUCACCUGCACGCACCGCUGCAGCUCGGCUCACUGGUGCGGCCACGGGGUGAGCCUAGUUUGGCUCACUGUACGCCUCCUCGAUCUCUCAGGCCGGUCAACAGCGACGGAGGGGUAGUAGGGCUUGAUGAGAAGCUGCGCCAUGGAGGAUGCGAGCUUGCCGAUCUUGACUGUGUCGUCCUCGUUAGCGUCCUUGGAGGGGAUGUGGGCGUGGAUCUCGUCUCCCGGAGCCAGCUUGGAUCCACAUCGAUUGUGAGGAUGCUGGCGGCGUUGUUUUCCCUCGCAUCGUGGUUGUCCCCGGCAAGGCAGCCCGGUAGGUCGUCUUCAUCCUCGACAGUGGCAGCCUGAAUUCAGCGACUCGUUCUUCCACCUAGAGGUCCCCACUUCUCCCUUUUCCUAUCUUUUUCUUGUUUCUUAUCCUGUCUCUGCAUGUGUAUGGCUAAACCAAUAUAAUGUGCAUUAAGCUACAGCUUGGUAGUGAAAAGAUGUAAAUUUAUUCAUGCCCCCUCCACCUUUUUCUGUGCUUGGGACUUGCGUCGGCAGAGGCCCCUCUGCCCUCGUUCAGAUUCAACAAAUUUAAUAAGUAAUUAGUUUAUUUGUGAUUAGCUAUAGCUUUAAGAUUUCCCAAAGAUUGAAUUAAUUUUAAUAAGUGAUAUGAAAAUAGGUGCUAUUACAUUUUGCAUAUUAACUGUAACGAUCUGUGGAUACUGUCACUAUUGUAUUGCAGAAUAUGAUAAGCUUAAAUAUCUGAUAAUAUAUAGUGUCGACAAAUUAUAAUAUUGAGUUAUUUCCAUUGAAUGUUGAUGCAUGUUUCAAAUACUUCUGGGAGUAGUAGAUUAUAUCUGUCCUGCCAUAUCAUGUUAUUAGCAUAGAAAAGUCAGUUUUGCUCCAUGUACUUAUGGUUAUCUAUAAAGGCUAGUAGCAUCUGUAAGUGUGUGUUUAGUUCCUACCUUAAGAAUAUUUUUGUGUAGACUAUGUUCUUGACCACAUCAUCCUUGUUGUUAGUUCAUUUGCUAUAUAAAAGAAAAUAACAGGUGUGAUCAAGUCAAUAGGAUAUUACUUGCAAGUGUUUUUCUAGGUAUUCCCUUUCUCUUAUGUUUCUCAUGAACUCCUUGAGUUUUAUGUGGAACACUCGGUCAACAAUAUCAGACCUUUCUCCUCGCAAAAAAAAAAGGAAAACCAACAAUAUAAGAUCUUUCUGCUGCUGCUUGGCCUACUUCCUGUAGCAUAGAUAGAUUGAAUCUCCGGCCAAGUUGCGUUGCAUGUGAGUGUCACAAAUAGGUCUGUGUAUCCAAGCGACUGACAUAUUUACAUAGCUUCUUGGUAGUUUUGUGCUUUGUAUCUUGGGCUAUCUGUCAAGCUGGAUGGCACAUGGCAGUUGUAUUCUCCUUCAUACCUGGUCAACCAUUGUAUUUCUAUUGCGUCUUGCAAGUCAGCAUACAAUUCGUUCUUAGGUUUACUUGAUGUCUUUCGAUCCAGUCUAUUUGUAAAGCAAAAUAUAUGCAAGGGCAAUGAACUGCAAUUUAGGCUUUUCACACACCAGCAAGUGUUUCGACAGGUUAGUAUGUUGUUGUAUAUGAUUCUCAUAGUAUUCCAACAUUGUUAUAUCCUUUCUCUUCCACUUUGCACCUUCUUUUAAAGUGUAAUGUGUAUUUUCUCUCUACCCAUCUUCUCCGUAGGGGAAUAAUAAUAUAUACUGCAUAGCCAUGAAUUUUGAAUGGUUCUCUGAUAUUCUUUGGUCUCAUGUCUGUGUACUGAACAAUGAUAUCUCAUCCUUUUCUAUUCUGUGUUGUAUCAUUCACAAUCAAGGCUGCAACUUCAGUUGCAGAUGGCAUGUCAUGUCGUCUUAAUCUCACGUUGUGAUAGACACCUUUUCAAGUUUAUCCUUUGCCAUUAUGAGUGUUUUAGCUAGCACAUGAUAUGGUUCCCUGUGGCAAUUCAACAAUGCUGAUUUUGUCGCUGUCUUGGUUAAGCCAUACUACAUGGAAAUUUGUUCUCAUGUUGUUUUGACAAAGAAAUAAUUGAUAGCUACGGUCAGGACGAAAUGUAGCAUGUCUUUAUUUAUUUAAUACACCACUUUAAAUUAGUUGCAGAUCAUAUGGAACUGCAUAGGCGGACGGGCUUGAUAACCAUUUGUGGAUGGUAAACUCUGUAAGAUCAGAUAUUUGUACAUCAAAUACACUGGGUUAUUGAAGAAACUUUUGUAAGCCUGGAAAGAAUGGAAGACAUAGAUAACACAAUUGUUGCUCAAAGCAGAAGCAAUCUAUAGUAUUGUUUCCAGUACACCUUACUACAGUCAUGCAUCAUGUAAGAGAAGUUUAGCAGUUGAAUUCAAAGAAGUAAGUAAAGAUAGUGGAUGAUAAUACACUUAAAGAAAUAAGUUUGUACAAUUUUCUUCGCUCACGUGGUUCAGAGAUUCUUAUUUUGGCAUAGUUGUGCAGUCUGGCACAUCUCCAUCUAUGAUCGAAUGUUUUCUCAUUUUCUUGUCUUGAAGUUUCAUUCUCCUCUCCUAACUUGUCAUUGUUUAUUGACCGGACUCACAUCAGUAAGAAAUUAUUUGAAAUAUUUUCCUGGUCCAAGCUUAAACCACCAACCCACGUGUGCCUACUUGAAUCAGAAAUCCAAGCUAAAUCUUUUUCUUAUAAUACCACCUAUUAAAGAUUCAUGGUUAGUAAUGGAUCAACUUGUUGUAUUGCAUAUUUGGUACUUUUAACCACCUUGGCAGUUUUCUAACAUUUUUGCUAUGUGGCCCACCUUUUAUUUCCUUUGGUUCUUCCUGCACAAUGGAGAAGAUGAGAUAUUGUAAAAUCGCUGUGUAGUACUGCUCAAGGUUACGAAGAUUUAUGAUUUUGAUAUUUUUUCUGCUUACAAAAUUUCGUCUUCGUAGGAGAUCAACUUCCAAGACCAGUGGAUGUUAAGUUCCAAUCUUCAUUUGAAAACACAAAUAUUUUCUAUAUGAUCUCUGUAGAUGGUACUUGCCGGAGGUGGUCUGCUUGCUCGAUGGAGCCGAUGGCACAAUCAAGGAGAUUUGGACACUCGCUUGUGAGAGUUACUUUUUUUAGGGAAAUCCAUUAUGACGGUGUAUAUUGAUCUGCAAUAAUAGCUACAUCAGCCAAAAGGACGGCAAGUUAAAAAGCUGGAGGUUGCUUGUCAUGGAUAUGAGUCCAACCUAUUGUGAGUUUUGUUUUUGGGACCGUGAGAUUGAUUGUAAGAUUGGUGUAAAGAACAUGACAUGGAUGGUAAAAUUGAUCGUGAGAUUAGUGUCUUCAUGGGAUAUGGGGAAAAAACAAAGGGCAUGUAUGGCUUGGAUGUUCAAGAGAAGUAAUCAACCUACCUA